GGUAAACCAAAAUGAGGUGAAGUAGCUGCAGCCAACAAAUAACCAAUAAACCAUUCACAAAAAGAGAGGAGGACAUGCUGACGCGGUGUCUCCUUUGAGCAAUAGUGGGCCGAGAGGAAUACUGAUGAGGCCGAGAGGGAGGUGGGAAUGCGCCGCAGACACCGGCUGUCUCGGAACGGACUCCAGGAGUGUUCUGAGCAGCAGUAAGCUUGCAAAUUUUUCAUUUCAUCAAUGAGAGCUGCAUCUACCCUCGCUUAUGGUGGACCUGUAGGCUGGCGGUGGAAGAAGAAGGGACCUGAUGAAUGUUGCAGAGCAUGAGAUCACACCGUGCCAAUGUAUGGACCGAAGUGGACAUAAAAUUGAUUGGAAGAGCCUACAAAAUGUAAUUCGUAAAUAUUGAAUUUAAAGGACCUUUUCCAGAUUAUUGGCCCUAAGCUUAUUUCUGAUCAUGUUUUGUCAUGUGAAAAUUAAUUUGAUAGUGAGUCAAAAACAGCUUUACAUCAAUUCUGGAGCAAAGAAAUACAAUCUGCAAAUGUUGAUGAAGAAUGUGGUAAAUUUCAUGAGACUUCCCAAGAUAAUUAGUUUCUUACAUUUCUUCAUGCAAUGUGCAGAUUCAUUUGUACAAAUUCUUGAAAACAUUUGUUUUAAUUUUAACUGUAUAACCUCCCUUAAAAAAACACCCCCUAUAAUAAAAUAAAUGCUUUGUGCAGCUCUUUUGCUGUGUCUUUAGUGCUUGGGGGAUUGGUCUGGUGGUGGAGAUUUACAGAUCAUAAAGAAGUACAAUAUCAGUAUUGAUCGUCUAACUAAAGCAAAAAUUAUCUGCAUGCUUAUAGUUCUCCUGGGCUGCCACAUCCUCAGUGCACGCACACACAUAUGAUCACAUCUACACAUACACAUACUCAGUAUACACAUACAUUUGCACAAUGUUUGAUCACAAAACAGACAUGCUCAGUAUACACGCACGUAUGCGUAUAUUGUUUUAUACACAUGGGUUUUUCCAAGACACGUGUAUGCACAGUAUUUCUUGAUCACUAAAAAAAUCAUUAAAAGGUUGUGUAACAAAUAUAAAAGAAAAUAAAUGUUGGUCUUUCUGCCUUAAAUAUUUCAAGCUUCUUUUAUCUGGUUCUUUGAAGAUUUCCAUUAACUAAUGGUGAUAAUGUAGCUGCU